GGACGUGUUUCUACGAGUGAAACAGCGACUUACACGACGCAGCCGUGUUAUCCCCGGUUCGAGUCCGGGAGCGUCCACCA
rnacentral:tRNA from 1 species